AUUGAACGCUGGCGGCAGGCCUAACACAUGCAAGUCGAGCGGAUGAAGGGAGCUUGCUCCUGGAUUCAGCGGCGGACGGGUGAGUAAUGCCUAGGAAUCUGCCUGGUAGUGGGGGAUAACGUCCGGAAACGGGCGCUAAUACCGCAUACGUCCUGAGGGAGAAAGUGGGGGAUCUUCGGACCUCACGCUAUCAGAUGAGCCUAGGUCGGAUUAGCUAGUUGGUGGGGUAAAGGCCUACCAAGGCGACGAUCCGUAACUGGUCUGAGAGGAUGAUCAGUCACACUGGAACUGAGACACGGUCCAGACUCCUACGGGAGGCAGCAGUGGGGAAUAUUGGACAAUGGGCGAAAGCCUGAUCCAACCGUGCCGCGUGUGUGAAGAAGGUCUUCGGAUUGUAAAGCACUUUAAGUUGGGAGGAAGGGCAGUAAGUUAAUACCUUGCUGUUUUGACGUUACCAACAGAAUAAGCACCGGCUAACUUCGUG
rnacentral:rRNA from 1 species